rnacentral:tRNA from 1 species
GGGGGUAUAGCUCAGUGGUAGAGUGCUUGUCUAGUGUCCUAGCGGCCCUGGGUUUAAUUCCCUGCACCACUC